rnacentral:sRNA from 3 species
UGUAUCUGAAGCCUGACGAGGAUGAGAACCUCCGGGGGCAAGAGGUUCGACCCGAGCGAAGCGAGAGAACGUUGCGGCAGCAACGGCCCGCAGUGGCGAGUCAUCCUCUAUCACCGACCA